GGAGGUAUUUAGUGUCUGGUGAUGCUCACAGUCUUCAAAGCUGCUGUGGGGCCGAUAAGGUCCCGGGUGGGUUCGAUUCCCAUAUACCUCCGCCA
rnacentral:tRNA from 1 species